UUUUUAAAGCUUCAAACUGGGAUUAGAUACCCCACUAUUCAUAAAUUGUAAAUAAAUGAAAAUUUACCAGAGUACUAUGAAUAUAUAAAAAUUUAAAACUCAAAGGGCUUGGCGGUGUUUUAGACCAAUUAGGGGAACCUGUCUCGUAAUCGACAGUCCACGAUAUACCUAACCUUUUUUGGUAAACAGUUUGUAUACCGUCGUCGUCAGGUAACUUUUAAAAAUAAAGAAGUUGGCAGAAAUAAUAGUUGUUGAUUAAGACGUCAGAUCAAGGUGCAGCCUAUAAAAAGGAGAGGAUGGGUUACAAUUAUAAAAUAAUAAUUACGGAUAGUUUAAUGAAAAAAGCUUAAAGGAGGACUUAAAAGUAAUGUUGUAAUAUAUAAAUAAUUUGAAUUAGGCUCUGAAACGUGCACACACCGCCCGUCACCCUCUGCAGUCAAAAAAAA
rnacentral:rRNA from 1 species